AUGUCCCCCCACUUUUCAAAAUCCCGUUCGUGUCCCCCCCACUUUCAAAUUAGUAUGUUAUUAUUUUUUUUUAACCGCGCGCCAUCAUCGCUCGUCACAGAGGAGCAGGACCGAGCAGAACAGACAUCCUGCCUGUCUGUGUCGAUGCGCGCGUCCGCGUACAGGCAGGGACGUCUCGUGCACACUCAGUGUAAGCGCACUGAAAGUUCUACUGAGCAGCUGGUAUCGCAGUCAGUCAUGAAACGCCAGCAACAGAUGACUUUAAUGUCUUCAUGGAUGAAAAAAAAGAAAGGAGAUAGCACAGAUGAGGAGGAGCUGCUUCAGAACAGAGAGGGUGAGAUAGGGAAAAGCAGUAGCAGCACAACGUUACAGGUAGGUUAUGUGCUGUAUGAAAGGCCAGGUGAUUUUGAUUUGUUGGUGAUAAAAGGGAAGAAGUGUACAUGAUAAAUAGUGAAUACAGUUUGAAUAUUAUCAAAUUAUAUGUUCUUCUUGUAGGAGCCAAAUUGCGUGUUGUUAUUUGUUUAGAAUAUUUUUUUAACAUGGUCACAUCAUCACAUGGGUGUGGUUUCAUAUUAUUUACCUGCUCACUUGUGUGGUGGGAGAGAAAUAGAGGAGCUUCAGUGCUCUGAGGAGGUUGAAGACCUGGCUGAGAAGCACAAUGUUGCAGAUUCGCAUUAACAAUGUAGCAGUCUGUCACAUCCACAAAGAAAUGCUGGAUAAAGUCAGCAAGGAAAACAUUUGCCAGGAGUUCAUCAUGGCAAAUGACUACAGGAAGCAUGUGUUUGGUUCUUACAUGUGAGGAGACAGGACAGUAUAGAAGGUUGAAUAGUUAGUAUAUGGAGAAAUGGGAUUGAAUUGAUAGAUGGAGGACAAUGAAAAAAUAUCUUUAUAUUAAAGUUACAUGUUUGUUUUUAUGUUUGUGAGAUUGUGUUUCAAUUUUGCAUCUUGUGUAACAAAUAAUCUUGUGUACCUGCGGUUUGGUGGAUGUGUCUCUGACAAAUGUCAGAUUUAACAGUUAGUUUGAAAUAAAAGUUUGUUUAACAGUGGAAAUUGUGUUUCA
ensembl:lncRNA